rnacentral:tRNA from 1 species
CUAGUGGCGCAGUGGUUAGCGCAGCGGACUCAUAAUCCGUUGGUCGUAGGUUCGAACCCUACCUGGCC